rnacentral:rRNA from 1 species
GAUGAACGCUGGAGGCGUGCUUAACACAUGCAAGUCGAGCGAGAAAAGUUCUUCGGAGUUUUUCUAGCGGCGGACGGGUGAGUAACACGUGGGCAACCUGCCUCAUAGAGGGGAAUAUCCUUCCGAAAGGAAGAUUAAUACCGCAUAACAUCGUUGAAAGGCAUUUUUUAACAAUCAAAGGAGCAAUCCGCUAUGAGAUGGGACCGCGACGGAUUACCUAGUUGGUGAGGUAACGGCUCACCAAGGCGACGAUGCGUAGCCGACCUGAGAGGGUGAUCGGCCACAUUGGAACUGAGACACGGUCCAGACUCCUACGGGAGGCAGCAGUGGGGAAAAUUGCACAAUGGGGGAAACCCUGAUGCAGCAACGCCGCGUGAGUGAUGAAGGUCUUCGGAUUGUAAAGCUCUGUCUUUAGGGACGAUAAUGACGGUACCUAAGGAGGAAGCCACGGCUAACUACGUGCCAGCCGCCGCAGUAACAC